CUACCUCAUCUCUGUACCCCACACAUACAAUUAUCUGUAAGGUCCCUCAUCUCUGUACCCCACACAUACAAUUAUCUGUAAGGUCCCUCAUCUCUGUACCCCACACAUACAAUUAUCUGUAAGGUCCCUCAUCUCUGUACCCCCACACAUACAAUUAUCUGUAAGGUCCCUCAUCUCUGUACCCCACACAUACAAUUAUCUGUAAGGUCCCUCAUCUCUGUACCCCACACAUACAAUUAUCUGUAAGGUCCCUCAUCUCUGUACCCCACACAUACAAUUAUCUGUAAGGUCCCUCAUCUCUGUACCCCCACACAUACAAUUAUCUGUAAGGUCCCUCAUCUCUGUACCCCCACACAUACAAUUAUCUGUAAGGUCCCUCAUCUCUGUACCCCACACAUACAAUUAUCUGUAAGGUCCCUCAUCUCUGUACCCCACACAUACAAUUAUCUGUAAGGUCCCUCAUCUCUGUACCCCCACACAUACAAUUAUCUGUAAGGUCCCUCAUCUCUGUACCCCACACAUACAAUUAUCUGUAAGGUCCCUCAUCUCUGUACCCCCACACAUACAAUUAUCUGUAAGGUCCCUCAUCUCUGUACCCCACACAUACAAUUAUCUGUAAGGUCCCUCAUCUCUGUACCCCACACAUACAAUUAUCUGUAAGGUCCCUCAG